rnacentral:rRNA from 1 species
CAGUCGCCGCGGUAAUACGAGGGGGGCAAGCGUUGUUCGGAUUUAUUGGGCGUAAAGGGUGCGUAGGCGGUUUGGCAAGUCUUGUGUGAAAUCUAUGGGCUCAACCCAUAGCCUGCACGAGAAACUACCGGGCUUGAGUGAUGGAGAGGUGAGUGGAAUUUCCGGUGUAGCGGUGAAAUGCGUAGAUGUCGGAAGGAACACCUGUGGCGAAAGCGGCUCACUGGACAUUAACUGACGCUGAUGCACGAAAGCUAGGGGAGCAAACAGGAUUAGAUACCCCUGUAGUCCCUGUCUCUUAAUU